rnacentral:rRNA from 1 species
UACAGAGGUGCCGAGCGUUAGGCGGAAUCACUGGGCUUAAAGCGUGUGUAGGCGGAUGCCUAAGUACCUUGUGAAAUCCCACGGCUUAACCGUGGAACUGCUUGGUAUACUGGGUGUCUUGAGCCACUUAGGGGCGACCGGAACAAACGGUGGAGCGGUGAAAUGCGUAGAUAUCGGGAGGAACACCGGUGGCGAAGGCGGUUCUCUGGGCCUUACCUGACGCUGAGGAGCGAAAGCGUGGGGAGCGAACAGG